GAAUAUGAUUGACACUUAAAACCUUUCCAAAAAUGUGACAGAAGACCACAGAUAUCAACAGGCAACAAACUCAACAACUGGAGUGAUCAAUUUACGGGCUCCUUUCAUGAGAAUUCAAAUUCUCUUGAGCUUUUAAAAUAAAAAAUGUACCAUGUAAACACACUGUAAGUUUAAGAACUGAGAACUGAGCCACAAAAAUUACUCGUUGUGAACUGCUGAAACUCACGCCAUCUAGAUGAAAACAUUAACAUACGGUAUGAUCACCAACAUUUACAUGCAAACGUCUAUUUAUAUGUUCAGAAUCUUGGCCUGGCCAUUCAUAAGGAGUAAUAAAAGAAGAAGAUGUAAGAAACUAUAUCACUACUACUCCUAAACACUAGACUAACGAUAAGUGUAAAAUGAGGGAAAGUUUGACAAAGCUUGAGCUGUUCCUGACUGGAUAUAACUCCUAAUGCUCUGUAAAUAGGUCUGAAGGAUCUCAAGAAAUGAGUGGAGAUUUUUUGAACAUCUGAACAAUUUGAGUGCCAUAUUUCAGCACAGAUUGUUUAGUGAAUCUUACUAAUGUCUUAAAGUAGUGCAACUUUGCAAAGAGGCUGAUUCUGAAGGAUGGAGCAGCGUAAACAAUAUUGAAGCCAACAGAAAACACUACAAAAAAACCCUUGGUGGAACUCAGGGAAGAGAGAGAAAAAAAAAAAAAAGAAAAAAAAAGGUAUCUAGAAAGAAUCUUUGCCGCUAUGUUUGUCGCCGAGUUGUUUCCCACUUUUAUACUUCAUGCCCUCCUGUAAUGAAGCGAUUUGCACUUUCAUUAUCUUUACAGUAAUCCCGCACUGUUUGAGAAGAUUGUCGUCACUUUCUCGGUCCUUCUGACCUGAGACAAAUCGCCCUUGACUGAGCCAACUAAAGCCGAACAGAGCUUCAACGUUUCUGGAACACUCCUCCCAUCAGCCAUGAACUGGACAAUCGGAUAGUCCCGCCCCAAACUUACACCAUUGGUUGAGAUGCUACAAGCGUCACAGACUCACACUGUUUACACUCUUCGGGGAAAUAAAACUCUUACUUAUAGCCGUCUCUGCGCUAGGACUUGAGAAAGUAUUUUCACUUCGAAAAAUUACACAUAGCUGCUUUAAGUGUCUACAUACCUUUUGGGACCACUGUAUAUUCCCAUUUAAACUUUUAAAAUGUCAAAUCUUCAUCCAUAAAGCUCUCAAACUUUCAACACUGUCUGAUCGUGUACGUUGCACAUGCCAGUCUCACAACAUAAAAUCACAGAUGACAUCUUUAAACACCACUCUCUGGCCAAACAAGGAAGCGCACACACACACACACACACACACACACACACACACACACACACACACACACGCACGUUUGUUUUUGUGAAUUGCGGGGACAUUCCAUAGGAGUAAUGGUUUUUAUGCUGUACAAACCGUAUUUUCUAUUGCCCUACACUACCCCUACCCCUAAACCUACCCAUCACAGAAAACUGUGCACAUUUUUACUUUCUCAAAAAAAACAAAAAACAAAAAACUCAUUCUGUAUGAUUUAUAAGUCUCUUGAAAAAUGUGGACAUGGGGUAAUGUCCUCAUAAGUCACCCUCUCCUUGUAAUACCCAUGUCAUACCCAUGUCAUUAUGUCUGCUAUCCUCAUGUUCACAUUUAGGUCAAAUGCUACUAUUAAACAUAAAGCACUUUAAAAGCGACAUGAUUGAUCACCUUUAAUGUCAUUGACUUGAAUGGAAGAGAUGCUAUUUAAUUCUAAGUUAACAAAUGCUUUUGAGGUGUAAAUGUUUUACAAGAGUAUAAUGGUUGAAUGUUUGUAGUUAUGAGUUACUGCUGUAUUUUAAUGUAAUUUAUCUGUGUCAAUAAACAAAUGAAAAUGC